rnacentral:rRNA from 1 species
CAAAGGUUUGGUCCUAGUCUUCCUAUUAAUUUUUACUACGCUUACACAUGCAAGUAUCUGCAUUCCCGUGAAAAUGCCCUUUACUACCAAAAAGUAGAACAGGAGCGGAUAUCAGGCACUUACAUUGCCAAAGACAUCUUGUUUAACCACACCCCCAAGGGAACUCAGCAGUGAUAAACAUUGAAUAUGAGCGACAUCAAGCUCGAAUCAGCGAUAGUAAAUAGAGUCGGUAAAUCUCGUGCCAGCCACCGCGGUUAUACGAGAGACUCAAAUUAAUCCAAUCGGCCCAAAGAGUGGUUAGACGUGUAAAUAAAAUAUGGUUAAAAACCAACUCUGCUGUCACACGCAAAAGUUUAAAACAAACACAACAUCGAAAGUAACCCUAUAAUAGCAACAUUGAACCCACGACAGCUAGGGCACAAACUGGGAUUAGAUACCCCACUAUGCCUAGCCAUAAACUUUGAUUUAUCCGCCCGAGUACUACGAGCAACAGCUAAA